GUACACUCCUGCGGGAGGCAGCAGUGGGGAAUCUUGCGCAAUGGGCGAAAGCCUGACGCAGCCAUGCCGCGUGAAUGAUGAAGGUCUUAGGAUUGUAAAAUUCUUUCACCGGGGACGAUAAUGACGGUACCCGGAGAAGAAGCCCCGGCUAACUUCGUGCCAGCAGCCGCGGUAAUACGAAGGGGGCUAGCGUUGCUCGGAAUUACUGGGCGUAAAGGGAGCGUAGGCGGACAUUUAAGUCAGGGGUGAAAUCCCGGGGCUCAACCUCGGAAUUGCCUUUGAUACUGGGUGUCUUGAGUAUGAGAGAGGUGUGUGGAACGCCGAGUGUAGAGGUGAAAUUCGUAGAUAUUCGGAAGAACACCAGUGGCGAAGGCGACACACUGGCUCAUUACUGACGCUGAGGCUCGAAAGCGUGGGGAGCAAACAGGAUUAGAUACCCCGGUAGUCCC
rnacentral:rRNA from 1 species